UACGAAGGGGGCUAGCGUUGCUCGGAAUUACUGGGCGUAAAGGGCGCGUAGGCGGCACUGUUAGUCAGGCGUGAAAGUCCUGGGCUCAACCUGGGAACUGCGCUUGAUACGGCAGAGCUAGAGGAUGGAAGAGGCUCGCGGAAUUCCCAGUGUAGAGGUGAAAUUCGUAGAUAUUAGGAAGAACACCGGUGGCGAAGGCGGCCCACUGGCUCGACACUGACGCUGAGGUGCGAAAGCGUGGGGAGCAAACAGG
rnacentral:rRNA from 1 species